GCCCAAGCCGGCGUUAUUUGGGAGGCUUUCUAUGGAGAUGCCCCAUUGUCAGUUGUGAGGCUGCGUGCGGCACCACAACGCUCGGGACAGAGUCGUGGGAGUGUCUGGAUGGAUAGCUACGUAUCCUGGCAACCGCCUGGCCUCCAGGUUUUCUGGAUAGAGGCCUCAGCUUGGAACUUCAGAGGUUGAAAAUACAGCUCAAAUGCCU